rnacentral:lncRNA from 1 species
GUGAUACGGAAGUGGAACUCUUUGUUAUUUUCCCAGAGUCAGAAGGAAGGCAUAAGCAUCCCACUUGAGGAAAAUAUCAUGCCUAUAAGCCCAGUUUCUCCCAGAUGUUCACUCAGGUCAUUCCUGAUGAGGUUCUCUUUAGACCUGCUGAAAGGAUGGCUUCUAUCUUCAGAUACAAAGUGUUUCUAUUGCUCCUUGCUGCUGCUGUUCUGUGAUCCAGUGAGUGAUGAAUGUGUCCUAAAGGAACACCUGAUCUACAUAGUGAGGGCAGCCAAUAAAUAUACAAGAUGAGCUCUGGAAAAAUUGAAAGUGUUAUGAAUCAGUGAACACCUUCUCCCUUUCAGCCCUGCAGGAACAGAUGGACUGGAGAAUACAAGGCAUCAGUAAUUUAUGAAUGGCUGGGACAGCGUUUCACUUAAAUAAAACAACACACGGCAUGAAAGUCA